UACGUAGGGGGCAAGCGUUGUCCGGAUUUAUUGGGCGUAAAGAGCGUGUAGGCGGCCAAGCAGGUCCGCUGUGAAAGCUCGAGGCUCAACCUCGAGACGUCGGUGGAAACCGUUUGGCUAGAGUCCGGAAGAGGAGAGUGGAAUUCCCGGUGUAGCGGUGAAAUGCGCAGAUAUCGGGAAGAACACCCGUGGCGAAGGCGGCUCUCUGGGACGGUACUGACGCUGAGACGCGAAAGCGUGGGGAGCGAACAGG
rnacentral:rRNA from 1 species